rnacentral:lncRNA from 1 species
GGAAAAUAAAAAUUAUCUUAAAACAUAAUGAUACUUACUUAAAUGCAAAAUAUUUUAGAGGAACAUUGCCUUCUAUACAUGAUUUGAUUUUCAGAAAUUGUGCUACCUGCAUUUGAAGAGGAUGAUUUUCUAGAUAUACCAGAAAUGGAAAUAAUUAAAACGAAGAUUAACCUUUUCAUGAAUGACUGGCAAACAGUGGAGUCAGAAAUUAAGCAGUCAUCUCAAGUUCAGGUUGUUGUUUUAGAGAUUGCUGAGCAAACUCCAGAAAGUCUGCUUAAUCAAGUUGUUCUGGUUAUGGAGGAACCUUUUAAAUAUCAUGGCUGGGAGUUAUCUGCUGAAGACUUAGAUGAGGAAGCAGAAGACCUGGUUGCUGAAGUGGAAGCUGAAGAAGAAAAUGAAGUUGCAGAAGAAAAUGAAGAUGAAGAAGUGAGCAUGCUCUUUUUGUCCAUUUGUCAUCUGAUUUUAGUUUAUUUUCAGUUUGAGCUGUAUCCCAUAGAAAUCAGUUUUUGCACCUGGUUUUGUGUGAUCCAGUUUCAGCUGUCUUAA